GGCCUGAUGGUCUAGUAGUAUGAUUCUUUGUCGGGGUGGAUUUCUAGCUAUCGAGGAGGUCCUGGGUUCAAUUCCCAGUCGGGCCC